GUUGGAGUAGCUCAGUGGUAGAGUGCAUGCUUUGUAUGAAUGAAGUCCUGGGUUCAAUCCUCAGCUGCAAAU
rnacentral:tRNA from 1 species